AGCCGGGGCAGAUCAAAAGUGGGGAUAAGUCUGAGCAGCCUCAGCUGAUGACUUGCGGAAUGCUCCAUGUCAGGCCUACUUCUGUCCUUUCUCUUGCCUUGUCUAUCUCAUUCAACAGCGGCCCCAGUCUCUUUUCACUGCACCCACACAAUAAUGGGUCAAGCAGGUAAAUGCUAUUUGGGCAUUCCCUUCCAGAAGAUUUCCAUGGUGGGAUAAGCUGGGAAUGCCCAAUGGGGAAGAUUGCAUUAGGCAUCCCACUGCCUCAAUUCAGUGUCCACAUUCCAUAGGCACAUUGUAAAUCAUGCACCUGUCCACUGCCUGAAGCCAAUGCUGUUAGGAAUCUAUUACAGAGACGGAGGCUUACCCACUCUCACUCUUUUUUUUUUUUUUAACUAGCCACCUUGGCCUUUCCCUUCUCUGUCCUGUGCAGUGUCAGCCAUGCAGUCUUCUUGCUGCACACAUGCAGGCACAGGUCGUGUAGUUAAAUGCAGUUAGGGCACAUGCUGCAAGAAGGCUCCUGUAGCAGAAUAAUCUGGGUGUGGAACAGGAAAAUUACAUUCGGCACCCGGCCAACCACACACCCAUCCACUCCCUGCAGAUGAUCCCAUCAGGAAUAUCUUAAAGGAGACAGAGGCCAUUCACUCUCUGUCUUUCCAGCUGACUACCAAGGCCCAUCUUGCUUACGACUUCCUGAGUUGAAGGACUUGAUGUUGGAUGGAAACGCUUGCUUACCUUCCUUCUGGACACCAGGCUCUGUCAUCGUGUUCUGAACAACCCCCGGGGACUCCUGCAGAGCUGGUCCACAACGAACCAGCUGUCUCCACCCUGCACAUACUGCCCACACCAGGACUUGCUUGGAGGUUUAAGGUGAGUGAGCACAUGGAAAGGGUUUGGUGCUCUUUCACCAACUUUGUUUCACCAGUUUGCUCUCAGAAAGCAUUGUGGUUCGGCCGGCGCCGUGGCUCACUAGGCUAAUCCUCCGCCUGUGGCGCCGGCACACCGGGUUCUAGUCCCAGUUGGGGCACCAGAUUCUGUCCCAGUUGCUCUUCUUCCAGUCCAGCUCUCUGCUGUGGCCCGGGAAGGAGUGGAGGAUGGUCCAAGUCCUUGUGUCCCUGCACCACAUGGGAGACCAGGAGGAAGCACCUGGCUCCUGGCUUCAGAUCAGCACAGCGCCGGUCAUGGAGGCCAUUAGGGGAGUGAACCAAGGGAAGGAAGACCUUUCUCUCUCACUAACUCUGCCUGUCAAAAAAAAAAAAAAAAAAGAAAACUUUCGUGGUUCAAAAAAGAACAGAAAAAGAAUGUUCAAUUGGACAUUCCCAUGGGCCUGGAAGAUUUGGAGCUAACAGUGGGUCAUUACCCAUGGAGAUUAGUGCCCAAAUGUCCAGUUAAAUAUCCAGGAGGAUAGUAGGACCAGGACUCGCAAAGCCAGGAAGUAGAUCAACUGAGAGGGAGAAUGACAGGCUUGGGUCUUGUAAGACUGAGUUACCCAAGAGUGCUCAGUUGUUUAUUUUAUUAAUUGGGAAGUUUACCCCCACGGGACAGAUAAAAAUGCCCUGCUAUUUUGAGGCAAAGAACUGGGCGUGUCAUUUCCAUUGUGCAGAUUUUGAUAAGGAGAAAAAACACUCUUGUGUAAAUGGUGGAGAUCUCAUAUGAAAGGGCUCCUGUGUAGGUGUGGAGACUUCUGGGAAUGAUUAGGUGCUUCCCUUUUCAGGGACUCUCACUAAGCCCAGAACCAUUGCCAAAUGCACAGACACAGAAGGACUACACCCAGCCUCACCAUGGAAAGUCCUUGCUUAGGUAGCCAGGGGCCAAUUUAGAUUCUGAUGGAGACAGCGGGGUCAGGAUGGAGCCUGACUUCUCCAUCUUACCCUUACAACCAUUAAAAGAAGUGAUGCAGGGACCAUGAGCUAUUUCUCAUGGUUUAACUGCUUUAAGAAACUUGAGGGAAGAGUGUAGACUGAGUAUUCAAAUAAGA
ensembl:lncRNA